GGGAAACAUCAACAAUGUCAAAGUUUGUACUAUAAAAAUUCCUAAAAUCUUGGGCAUGUGGUACAUGCUUCUAAUUCCAGCGACUCAGGAGCCUGCCGCAGGAGGAUCUCAAGUUGAAAGCCAACCUCAGCAACUUUGUGAGAACCUUUCUCAAAAAAUAAAAAGGCCUCGGGUGUGAUUCAGGGUCAGGUAUACCCAGGUUCAAUUCCUGGUACAAAAUCCAAAAAAUCCUAAAGUUGACAAACCUUGGGUAAAGAUUAGUCAAUUAAACUAAUAGUAACACACCACCCAAAACAAAAACCAAAUUAAAAAAAAAAAAGAAGAAGAAGAAAUAGCAGCACAAAUUAAUAACACUGGAUUUGAAAAAAGAAAAUAAACAUAUAGGAUUAAAAAGAGAAUAUUAUGGAUAAUUUAUUAAUACAUUUGACACUUUAGGUGAAAUGUAAUAUUAGUAGAAAUCUACAAAUUGUUAUUACAAGAAAAAGGUGAAAAAUAUAUAUGAUCUCAUAAUCAUUAAAUAAAUUAAAACAGUAGUUUAAAAACUUGCCACAAAGAAAGCAUCAGGAGCAGAGUUUGCAUCUGAGUUGUAAACAUGAAAAAAUGGAAAAUUUCUAUCUUAUACAAGUUUCACAGUGUUGCAAACAAAAGCAUACUCUUCAACUAAUUUAUGUAAUACUGAUGUAACUGAUAUUGAAACAGAGUGGUGCCAAUACAAGAGAGGAAAGUUAUAUGCUAGUCUCAUUGGUGAUUAGAUGGAAAGUUCUUAAAAAAAAUGUUGCCAAGCUGAAUUCAGCCAUGUGUAGACAUUUAUAUAUAAAGACUAGGCUCAGUUUAUGUCAUUAAUGCAAGAUUGGGUUAUUGCAAACAUCAGUAAGGAUUAAAAGACUUGAAUAGCACUAUCAACCAACUUGACCUAAUUGACAACAUCACUUGGC
rnacentral:lncRNA from 1 species